CAUCACUACGCUAGAUGCAUAUCAAUAAGCGGAGGAAAAGAAACUAACUAGGAUUCCCUCAGUAACGGCGAGUGAAGCGGGAAGAGCUCAAAUUUGAAAUCUUCAAGGUUCUACCUUGACGAAUUGUAGUUUAUAGCAGUGUUUUCUGUUAGUGGAGUGGCAAAAGUUCUUUGGAAUAGGACAUCAUAGAGGGUGAGAAUCCCGUAUUUGGUCAUUCCUCCUAGCGUUGUGAUACACUUUCAACGAGUCGGAUUGUUUGGGAAUGCAGUCCAAAAUGGGUGGUAAAUUUCAUCUAAAGCUAAAUAUUGGCGAGAGACCGAUAGCGAACAAGUACCGUGAGGGAAAGAUGAAAAGAACUUUGAAAAGAGAGUUAAACAGUACGUGAAAUUGUCAAAAGGGAAGCGUUUGACACCAGUGUUGUUUUUCCGAAAAUCAAUUACGAAUGUUUUAUUUUUGAGAAGUUAUGACUUCAUCGGCUUGCUUCUCUCUUUAUGAAACUUUCUUAAUGCACUUUUCGGUUAACAAGUCAACAUCAAUUUCUUUUGUUGUAGAAGGGUAUGAGGAAGGUGGCUUUCUUCUCGGAGAAAGUGUUUAUAGCCUUGUAGCCUCUGCAAUCGGAGAGAUUGAGGUCUGCAGCGUAGAUCCUUCGGGGUUAGAUACAGUUGGUGCUAAGUUAUGAGCCUUUCAUAGACAACUUGUUGACUAUGAUUCAGUCAUGUAGCUUACUCGCUUAUGUCUAUUUUACCUACGCUUAGGAUGUUGAUAUGCAUGACUGAUAU
rnacentral:rRNA from 1 species